CACCAGAGGGUGCAAUAAGAC
rnacentral:tRNA from 1 species